rnacentral:rRNA from 1 species
AUGAAAGAACACUUUGAUGUUCACAACGUGAGUGGAAUUGACCGCUCCAAGAGAUCACUUCGGUCCCGAUGGUUAACAAUCAACUCGGAUUGUCAAAGGUGGGCGGCCUGUCAAAAGGCAGUUGACAAGUUGAACCCAAGUGGCACGAAUGAGGACGAUAGAGUAAGUGGCAUUUCAUACAUGUUCAUCAUACUUGUUGUUGGUGUUCGAAGUGCUAACUUGCUUUGUUUUCAUGUAGUACAACAUUGCACAAAACUUGUUCAAAGAAGAGGAGAGGAAAACCAAGAAGGGGAAGAUCAAGAAAGGAAGGAAUCGUGA